rnacentral:rRNA from 1 species
GUAAGCGUUGUUCGGAAUUACUGGGCGUAAAGGGCUCGUAGGCGGCCAACUAAGUCGGACGUGAAAUCCCUCAGCUUAACUGGGGAACUGCGUCCGAUACUGGAUGGCUUGGAUUUGGGAGAGGGAUGCGGAAUUCCAGGUGUAGCGGUGAAAUGCGUAGAUAUCUGGAGGAACACCGGUGGCGAAGGCGGCAUCCUGGACCAAUAUUGACGCUGAGGAGCGAAAGCCAGGGGAGCAAACGGG